rnacentral:lncRNA from 1 species
GAUGCACAGGAAGGGUAUGGUCAUGGAGUGUAUUUAAUCAGGGCAACAAACCCUCCUGUGUGGCUUAGAUUCAAGGCAGCUUUAGUAGAACUUGAAGGUGACAGACAUACCUCCAGGAAACGGUAGGGCUUAAGCAGAGUGGAAAUAGGGAGAGAGGAAGUCCACACUGUGGUGGGAAUGGAGGACAGGAAAAGAUUCUCCUAAUGUGAAUGGAGGAGCAAAGCUGUGGGGUAAGGAAAGAGAAGGAUAAAGGGAAGGAAUAAAUGUAGGGUAUGAGUGCUAGCUAGACUGAGGGCUUUUGUUUUAAAUCAAAACAAACUUUUGUAUAGGUUAAAUCUGUAAGAGAAUGGGCCACAGGAAUGCACCCAUGACAGGCCCCAGGGUGUGAUGUUCCCCACCCUGUAUCCAAGUGUUCUCACUGUUCAAUUCCCACCUAUGAGUGAGUUUUCCUUCUUUUCUCAGGUAAAAAUGGUGCUACCCUUGGAAA